rnacentral:lncRNA from 1 species
CUCACCUGGGACGAGAACAAGAUGGGGUAUUUAACCUGAUUGCAAAGGCUUUUGUGCCUCUUUUCUUCCCUGUUUUCCCCUUGCAAGCAGAUGUGGCUCUUUUGAUAAUUUCUCAGGCAUCACAUUCCUAGACUUCUGCUGGUCAGUAAUCUCACCUGCUAUGCUGGCUCUAUGGUGCCCUACUUAAGGAGGUUCAGUGAUCUCCAGUUUAUCCUUUUAUUGAAAAAGGGAGGGUUUGCUUUCUCUGUCAAAGUAACAGCCCAUCAUACCAUGUCAUUGAUUUUCUGACAUACCAAUCUUUCAACCACUAGUGGUAACUUAGAGCAUCUAACACCCCUGUCAUUGGAGUCUUCCUCAUAAAACGGAUAUGAAAAUCACUGUGUUGCUCAAGAAAUCACAUUAUUUUUACAGUGCAGAAGAAUUGCUAAGCUUUUGCCUCCCUUUUUUUUUUGAUUAAUUUCAUGCCUGACUCAGUCAGAGAUUAGGCCUUGACACAGGUUAUAAUUAAAUAUUGAAAUCAUGAAGUGC